rnacentral:lncRNA from 1 species
CUUAUUUUAGUUCAGUGUAUUAACCUGCCCGUACGAAAUUAUAAGGCGUAUUAUGCCUGGAAAUAAGGCGUAAACCAGGCGUAAGUGGUAGUUACGUGUCUAGAUCCAAGUGUAAGGGAGCAGGAAACAUAAAUUUGUAGUCCUAACAAGAUUAAAGACGCCGUUUAAGUAGAUUUUAGGUGAUCAUCAACAGAAGCCAUAAUCCUCAUUUUAUACACACCCAAGCUCAUUAGUUUAAAUCACAAAUUAAUUGUUUUGUAAACAUUUUAAAUACUUUUUCAUGAACGUUAACAAUGCAUCAUUAAUUAUUUAUAAAAAUUCUAUAAAAGAUAAUCUUAGGUUAAC